AGCUGUAUGUCUAAAGGGAACAGCCCAGAACAGAGUUAAUAGGUUCCAAAAUUAUUGUUAAGUGAAAUAGGUAGUGUUUAUCUAAGCCAACCAGGAAAUGGGCUUAGGAGCGGCCAUUUUUAAAGACCUCGUAACAGAGCACUGGUUUUAUACAAUUUUGUAUUGUAUUGUAGAUGCCCUAAAAUUUAACGGAUCUAAAUAAUAUACCGAGACCUUGUCCAUAAAUAUUUAUAUGUACAAGUUACAUAGAAUAUAUAUGGGGUAGCGGAACAUUGGGCAUAUUUCAGAUUUUUUCUUUUUAAGACUUAAGAUUAGAUUACCCAAGUGAUAAUGCUGACAUGAGUAACGAUAAAGGGUUUAUACCCUCGCCUAAAGCUUAUGGAAUUUACUUAAAGUAACGGCCUCUAAGUUUAAACAAAAAACACUUGAUCGUCUAACUUAACAGACGAUACAAGUGCAAAAUAGUAAACACCUAAUGGUAUAAACGAUGAGAAAAAGUAAGUUUUACAGAUAUAAAUAGCAUGAGUGUUGCAGGUAGGUAUUAUAUAUAUAAUGGAUUUUUUUUUAUUCCUUUUUAUGCGUUAUUAUCCUUUGCACUAUGUGCAAGGGAUAAAAAGUAAAUAAAAUUAUUAAUAGAAACUAGAAAAAUUAUAGAUUUAAUAGUUAUUUUGUGCUAAAGUGACAAAUGCUCUGGAAAAAUGUAAAACUACUGACGUGUUAAAGAGUAGGCGAGGUUCAAUCCCUUGCUGCAUAAU
rnacentral:rRNA from 1 species